GCGCUCGCUUCCGCGGCACAUAUACUCAAAUUGGAACGUUACAGACAAGAUAAGCAUGGCCCUGCGCAAGGAUGACACGCAAAUUCGUGAAGCGUUCCGUAUUUUA